CUAUCGUCUCCGGGUCGCUGAAAAUCAGCGAUCGGGUUUGGUAGCCCGGUGG
rnacentral:ncRNA from 1 species